rnacentral:lncRNA from 1 species
ACAGAACAUAUGAGACGAGCAUAAAGAGUACACAUGAGUUCAAGCAAUGCAACAUCCUAUACACCACAAAAAACUAUUAAAAACAGCAGUUUCUAAUUCUUGUAUAAUAAAUAUGCAUGCAGGCUUUUGACCUCAUAUCAUUUGAAAGGCUGAAUGGAAUGUGUGUGUGUGUGUGUGUGUGUGUUUGUGUGUGUGUCUGUGUCUGUGCGUGUCUGUGUCUGUGUGUGCGUGUGUGUGUGAGAUUGCAAAUGAUGAAAAAUUAAAACUAAAUAAUGUUAAAUAGAAAAACUCUUAGACCAUAUUUUUUGGUCAAUUACUCAAGGAAGAUAUUAAUACAAAGAGUAUGUUAAAAACAUACUUUAUUUAUAUUUAUUAUUUUAUUAUAACGUAUUAAAUAACACAUUAUAACAAUACUACAGUACUAAAAUACAUAAUUACACAUAUUCAACUAAUAAUUAAACAGUCUAAUAUUAAACAUCCUCUAAUAUAAAAUUAAACAGUAUCUAAAUGUAAUAAAAUACAUUAACAUGUAACUUUACUAUACCAACAUCAAUAUAAUCCACAACAACGACAGCAAGUAUUAUAUUAAACACAAUAAUGUCAGAAAAUACUUGGAAGUAAAAAAAAUAAACAUCCUGUCAAAUCAAAUCAAACGUGAAUCCAGUUCAGGUCAUACCAUUCCUGUUGUUUAUGUUUAUUCUUACAAAUCUAUUAAAUUAUAUAAUGAUUAACGAUGUUGGUGUGGUGUAAAUAUAAAGAUUAUUAGAUACUCAAACGUUAAAAAUGCUGUAUAAUAUAGUAAAACACAUAAGGGAGGAGUUGACUGCUAAAUGCAGUUAGUAUAUUUCUCUAAUAAUCCAUGCGAAUAAUGCGGCAACGACACGCAUCCGAAAACAACAGCAGAAAGAUCUUACCAGAAAACAUGUCUGAGUUGAUACCGCAGCCCGAAAUAUUAAUAUCUUCACCUGCAACUGUUUGUGAAGAGUCGUGACGCCUUCUUCUUUAAACAGACUGAGGCGCAGGAAGGAGGAGACGAACCAUCAGCGCCACCUGUCGGUCUGGCGGCACGGAUCCGCUCGCC